CUUUGCACUUUUCCUCUCUCCUGGGUUCCAGUUUAAUAAUUUGUACUAAGAUUAUUAUUUCAUGAUAAAUAAGCAUGAUCUGAGUUGUUUAUUUUGGAGGAUUUUUUUAUUAAUAAUAUCAUGUCUUAGCUCUUAUAGUUUUUCUUUUUUAUUUGAAUAAACAAAUGUUGAUUUUUUUUUAUUUUGUUAAUAGGUGGAAGCUUUUAGAAUUUGGUUAUGUCAAGUACAGCUCGAUAUGUUUCUUUGACAUUGAUAAACAUGAAUCUGCAAUUUUGUGUUGGUAUGGAGCUAGAACUAGAGCUGCAAAAGUUGGAAAAGGUUUGUCCAAAGACUAGAAAGCACCAAAACUUGCUCUACACUGCAGCAUUGGCUCGAACUGUGUACGUAAUAGAUCAACUCACGACAUCGUUGUGGACAUAAUCUACACUUUUAUUAUGAUAAAAGACAUCGAUUCAACGUUUUGAAUGACAACAUCACAGAAUAAUUGAAGAUUCAUUAUCUUUCUCAGCCCUCUAUCCCGCAAAAUCAUUACUUCUAAUCCUUUCAUCUUAUUCGUAGAACCUUUGUUUUGUUAUUUGUUUGGUUUUUUUUUACAUAUUUUAAGUCAUUACUCAUACAAGUGAUUAAAAUUGUUUGCAUUAAUGGGAAUGUGGUGCAGGUCCAAAAAAAUUAUUGGAAUAUGUGAGAUCAAGGUAAAAUAUAUUGGAGAAAGAUGUCAAACUUUCAGGUCUUUGGACUAUGUUUUUUGUCAAGUCUAAUGAAAGUUCAAGCCAGUUUUGUUUUCUUCUCCUCUUGGUGUAAUUUACUAGAAAAUUGCCCUUCAUAGUUCUAAUUUUUAACGUUUAGAUUUUUUUAAUUUAAUUUGGGUUGUGUGAACUUUAAGUAACAAAGAUAUUUUUCAGUGUACUACGAUAUAAUAAUAAAGACAUAUUAUAUGUAACCAUAACUUGAUUAGAAAGUGUAAGUAGUUAUAAAUUAAUUUAUUUUAGUAAACAAAAUUUUAUCCCGUGCCUCGCACGGGUAUAGGCACUAGUCAUAUUAUAAAGAACAUAAAAGGAACGAAAAACUAUGAAAGGAAACUGUUUGAAGCUUUCAAUCCAAUUAUUAAAUCCAACACAUUCUAUCACCUCCUUUCUAUUAAAUAUAAAUACCCAUUUCACACAAAUUAAAGUGAUUAAUUUUUGUAUAAUGAAGAUGAAAGAUUUGUUAUUUUUGUUGUAUUCAUAUACCCUUUAUCCAAAUCGAUUACCCCUACAAGUUUUUCUUUGUUUUUAUUUCUCUACAACCUCUGACAGAUCUAUUAAAAAUUAUAAUUACAAUCACCAAAAUAAAAAUAAUGGUCACUAUUACAUACAUCAACAACAUAGAAAGGAUGCUCUAUAUGAACUAUAUGGAAAUGUUGUUGCUGCUUGUAGUAGCUAGUAACGGGCUUCGGGGAGGCAGAGCAGUGGAUUUUCUACAUUGGCUUGUUUCUUGGACGGCGGGCAAUUGAAGCUGACCACCCAAUUCUCUAGUAGAAGACUAACACGAUUCACAGCGAAAAAACAUUUUGGAGUGCCAACUGCAACCCCUAACAAAUAGCCUUACAAGAAUGAUGUGGAUAAAGCGCUUGGUUGUCUCUACACUUCAGUUGCUGCAAGUUUGUUGAUUGAAGGUGAUGCAACCUCUCUUCUUGGACUUGCGGGAUAACCUUUGGAUAUUAGGGAGACUUGAAGAUGGACUUCAAGCUCUUGGAUGCUCCAAGUUGUUGGAGGCUUGAAGAUGAAGAUCUUCAAGUUGUUGGAACUUUCCACCAAGGUGACCAAGUAUCAUAAAUUGUGCACACGGAGGAAUCCCAUUUGAAAAGAUUCUUCAUAACUCUUGUAGUGCCACGAUGUAAGCUUGAUUUUAUGUCAUAAAAUUGGUAACUUCUAAGUGUGGUAGUUAUGAC